UCAUUAUUGGAACCAUUUCUUGCCAUUAUAAUUUAUAGGGCUCUAAUUCAUUUUCUAUAAUUAGAUGCCUUGUAUUUGGUGUAUGUGCUUUCCUGCAUAAGUAGGAAGCUCUAUUAGUUGUAUGAAGGUGAGAGAAAAUAUAGGUGACUUUGAGAAUUCUAUAAAUACUUGCAAUCUCUUACUCUCAUCAUAGACCAUUGGCAUGGCUAGACUAUUUAGUUUUAUCUAAUAUAUA
rnacentral:lncRNA from 1 species